rnacentral:rRNA from 1 species
UCGAGCGGAAACGAGUUAUCUGAACCUUCGGGGAACGAUAACGGCGUCGAGCGGCGGACGGGUGAGUAAUGCCUAUGAAAUUGCCCUGAUGUGGGGGAUAACCAUUGGAAACGAUGGCUAAUACCGCAUGAUGCCUACGGGCCAAAGAGGGGGACCUUCGGGCCUCUCGCGUCAGGAUAUGCCUAGGUGGGAUUAGCUAGUUGGUGAGGUAAGGGCUCACCAAGGCGACGAUCCCUAGCUGGUCUGAGAGGAUGAUCAGCCACACUGGAACUGAGACACGGUCCAGACUCCUACGGGAGGCAGCACUGGGGAAUAUUGCACAAUGGGCGCAAGCCUGAUACAGCCAUGCCUCGUGUGUGAAGAAGGCCUUCGGGUUGUAAAGCACUUUCAGUCGUGAGGAAGGUAGUGUAGUUAAUAGCUGCA